rnacentral:rRNA from 1 species
GGGCCCGCACAAGCGGUGGAGUAUGUGGUUUAAUUCGAUGCAACGCGAAGAACCUUACCAGGGUUUGACAUCCUGCGAAUCUCUUGGAAACGAGAGAGUGCCUUCGGGAACGCAGUGACAGGUGGUGCAUGGCUGUCGUCAGCUCGUGUCGUGAGAUGUUGGGUUAAGUCCCGCAACGAGCGCAACCCACGUCUUUAGUUGCCAGCAUUUAGUUGGGCACUCUAGAGAGACUGCCGGUGAUAAACCGGAGGAAGGUGUGGAUGACGUCAAGUCAUCAUGCCCCUUACAUCCUGGGCUACACACGUACUACAAUGGCGGUGACAGUGGGAAGCGAUAGGGCGACCUGGAGCAAAUCCCCAAAAGCCGUCCCAGUUCGGAUUGUACUCUGCAACUCGAGUGCAUGAAGUUGGAAUCGCUAGUAAUCGUGGAUC